UAUUUAGAGGAAGUANAGUCGUAAGUAGGACUCCGUAGGUGAACCUGCGGAACGAUCAUUA
rnacentral:rRNA from 1 species